UUCAGUCUUUCACUACCAAAGACACGGUUUGGCAUCUUGAAAUCUGUCGGGGAGAGUUAUGGCUGUCGUUAUAAAACUAAGUUGUAUUUGGCAGCCGCACAACAAGUACAAUGCAUCCGUCAUAAAAUGACUAUAUACUUUCGGGGUUCUGAUUGCACCAGCAGGCUAAACUGGCUGAUCUGUUCUGGUCUACAGAGGCGGGCAUUAGGAAGUCCAUGAUAGAGGCUGCCAUCACGUCGUCAGGAGUCAAGUGCCCAGUUCUGCAGUCUGGUGUCAGUCUGACCAUGUGACCUGCAGUGAACGGUCCUCCACCCUGUUCCUCAGGCUCUCAAAGCUGCAUUCUGGUUGGUCAAUCUGAGACCAUGUUAUGUGCAGUGAUCCACCAUCCCUCUGUCCUCUGGUUCCAUAGACGGGAUGGGCAGCCCCUCCCGUGGUUUCUCUGGAGCGUUGUCUUUCAGAAUCAGAAGGGUGCUGACCUACUUCCAACAUGUUGAAGGGGUGGUUACUGCCCACAGCUGGUGUUAUUUAAUAUAUGCUCUGUAUCAAACUAAGCAUUGUAUCUGGGCCAAAUCAUUAACUAAAUCUUGUAAUGAAUGUGGAGAUUGGCCAAGUUCAAGAUACUUGACUGUUUGGUAUAACCCUGGAUUGUACACAGAAGUGGUACACUUAAUGAUUCAACGGUAGCUAGGGGCGUAUGAGGUCUCUGUGAUAACGCUGCUCUGGUUGCUUGAUAAUCAAUUCGUACAGGCCCUAGUUUUAGCAGACCUGGGCUGCAGUCCAAACACUUAAGACGCACCCUACCCCUUCAGCCCUCAUUAAGUGGACACUUCUUAUAACCUGUAAUGCUGCGUGAUGAGUAUACACUUGCAGGGCAAGGAAGGAAUGAUUAUCAAAUGGCCUUGCCUGGAAAUUCAUCACUCGUUCAUCCUGCGAUUUGUCUUGUUAGCCACCGGUAGCUUGUGUUUUUUUUUAAUGGGCUCGUCAAUUAUGAUUGCAUGUCUAAUUAAAUUAAAUGUAUAAUUACUAAUUUACACCUACUGUAUGUUAGCUAGCUAAUUAGUUAACUACAGUUAGCCUGUCUAGCUGGAACUUCUGAAGAAAUGUAUUAUAAUUUCUGAAAGGUAACCAAAUGACUACGAGUUGUGUGCAUUAGUAGUAUAAUUUAGAACAUAUUUACAUUCGUUUUUACUUAUGCUUGUAAAUUGACUACUAAAACCAGGGCUGAGGGUGUUAUGUUGCAAGCUUCGCUUGUUUGGCUAAUAAUUUGCACCACCUGCCAAGAGGUGACAGUAAACCUCUAAAGGCAUAAGGUGAGGGUUUUUCGCAGAGUCUUUUGUUUGAACUGCAGCCCUGUACUACUGUCCAGUUAAGUGCCACAAAGGACACGGGCAAAUUAGUUGGCCCAGAACAGGGCAGCGCGACUGGCAUUUAAUGGGGACUUCAGGAUUUUGGCACACAAUAGUGUUUAUUUAUGUAGGCUGUAGUUUUAUUACUUUAAUUACUAUUUUGUUUACAUUUUCUUUUCUCACCCUGCCUGUAAAUGGUCCCUACAGUCAGCAGCAUGGUCUCGUGUGAUGACCUCGGUCUUGUGUUCUGUUAAGGUAUUCAAUAAAGUAUUAUUUUAAAGUCU